GUUUGCCUGUGUGUGGAUGGUGUUCAGCACCAGGGACAGGUAUGUUUGCCUGUGUGUGGAUGGUGUUCAGCACCAAGGACAGGUAUGUUUGCCU
rfam:Branchiostoma floridae genomic scaffold BRAFLscaffold_216, whole genome shotgun sequence.